rnacentral:sRNA from 1 species
GUCAUACUACGGUGCAUAGCACUGCAAAGUAAACGAUGACCCAUAGUGAACUUCGCGGUAAAAUGCGUAUCAAAUUGAAAAUUGUUGCUGACCUGGGGCUUCGCUCCCGGGUCGGUUUUCUU